GAAGUCGGCCAGACCGCCGCUGGUGCAAUUGCCGAAAGGCAGCACUGGAGGAACGUCCGGACUGCACAGGGCAGCGUAGGAGGUAACACCUCUCCACCGCGAGGUGAGGAUCAGAGCAACAGAGACGAGUCGGCGCGUGUCCCAGUAACGGCCCUUCGAAAGAAGGGCCGGGGCCGCGCCGGGUGAAACGGGCAAUCUCUACGCGCAGCAAUACCAAAUAGGCCAGCACGCGGCGGCAACGCCGCACCCUGUGACCCGCAGGGCGCUGGCGGGUAGGUAGCACCGAGCCGGGUGGGCGACCCCCGGCCCAGAGGAAUGGCGGUCACGCCCGGGCUUUCCUUCGGGAAGGCACGGGUGCACAAGAUCCGGCGUACCGGCGGACUUCACAC
rnacentral:RNase_P_RNA from 1 species